rnacentral:rRNA from 1 species
CCCUUAGAUGUUCUGGGCCGCACGCGCGCUACACUGACGAAGUCAGCGAGCAUGUCCUACGCCGACAGGUGCGGGGAAUCUUGUCAAACUUCGUCGUGAUGGGGAUUGAUUAUUGAAAUUCUUGAUCAUCAACGAGGAAUUCCUAGUAAGCGCAAGUCAGCAGCUUGCGUUGAUUACGUCCCUGCCCUUUGUACACACCGCCCGUCGCUACUACCGAUUGAAUGGUUUAGUGAGAUCUUCGGAUUGGCGCCACUGCGGCUCAGCAAUGGGCUCGGUGGAUGCCGAAAAGUUGAUCAAACUUGAUCAUUUAGAGGAAGUAAAAGUUGUAACA